UGACGGGUUGCCCGGCGGUCGCCUGGUAACCGGUCGCGGCGGUCCUGGCUGCGGCAGCUCAGGCGGCGAAGGCCGCCGAGGACUGUGGGCCGGAGCCCACGCCGGGCGCUUUCUGCCUGUUUUGUGAUGGCGGCCGCCGCGGCAGUGGUCACGCCGUCAGGUUUGGAAGAUGGAGUGUCUCGAUCCCGCGGCGAAGGGGCAGGGGAGGUGGUCGUGGAGCGGGGGCCCGGCGCGGCCUACCACAUGUUCGUGGUGAUGGAGGACCUGGUGGAGAAGCUGAAGCUGCUCCACUACGAGGAGGAACUCCUCCGGAAGAACAACCUGAAGCCCCCGUCCAGACACUAUUUUGCACUGCCUACCAACCCUGGUGAACAGUUCUACAUGUUUUGCACUCUUGCUGCUUGGCUGAUUAACAAAGCAGGACGCCCCUUUGAGCAACCUCAAGAAUAUGAUGACCCUAAUGCAACUAUAUCUAACAUAUUAUCUGAGCUUCGAUCACUUGGCAGAACUACAGAUUUUCCUCCUUCAAAAUUAAAGUCAGGUUACGGAGAACAUGUAUGCUAUGUUCUUGACUGUUUAGCAGAAGAAGCAUUAAAAUAUAUUGGUUUCACCUGGAAAAGACCAACAUAUCCAGUGGAAGAAUUAGAAGAAGAAACUAUCCCAGAAGAUGAUGCAGAAUUAACAUUAAAUAAAGUGGAUGAAGAAUUUGUGGAAGAAGAAACAGACAAUGAAGAAAACUUUAUUGAUCUCAAUGUCUUAAAGGCCCAGACGUAUCGUUUGGAUAUGAACGAGUCUGCCAAACAGGAAGAUAUUUUGGAAUCCACAACAGAUGCUGCAGAAUGGAAUCUCGAAGUGGAACGUGUACUACCACAACUGAAAGUCACGAUUAGGACUGACAAUAAGGAUUGGAGAAUCCAUGUUGACCAAAUGCACCAACACAAAAGUGGAAUAGAAUCUGCUCUAAAGGAGACCAAGGGAUUUUUGGAUAAACUUCAUAAUGAAAUUAGCAGGACUCUGGAAAAGAUCAGCAGCCGAGAAAAGUACAUCAACAAUCAGCUUGAGCACUUGGUUCAAGAAUAUCGUGCGGCUCAAGCCCAGCUGAGUGAGGCGAGGGAGCGAUACCAGCAGGGUAACGGUGGAGUAACGGAAAGGACCCGGCUCCUGUCUGAGGUGACAGAAGAACUGGAAAAGGUAAAGCAAGAAAUGGAAGAAAAAGGCAGCAGCAUGACUGACGGUGGUGAGUACACACUCAUCCUCAGGGGAAGAUGAGCAAGAGGAGAGUAUUUCCCAAGAAAUCUAUUUAACAAAAUGCUAUUCGUAAAUCGGGAGUCUGCUUUUUAAAAUGAGUUUGAGGAGAGGUAGGUAUGUGGUACAAAAAUGAUGUCUGAUAAUCCAUAUACUGUUUUCCUCAUCAGUCACCUCAGGGGAAUCAUUUUUUUUUAUCCUUAUUUAGGAUUUUUUUAUUCUAACUGUGUUGAUUUAGAGAUAGAGUGGGAAAUACUUAAAUAUACACUUUGUUAUUCCGAUUUAAAAAAAAAAACAAUAUUUGCUGUUUUCUCAAAUGAGCUUCAUUAUUCCACUUUAUGUGCAAAAGAGCACUAAGUGUGUGCCCAAAUGGCAUGAAGGCAGUGAUGGGGUGACCUUUGUUUAUCUUCCUCUCCCCCAGUGGACCCAACUGGGCAGAGCGGUCAAAUAGAGAAGAAUUAAUAAUCCUCUACUAAUCAUGCUCCAUCAUGAGCUAGUCACUUUGACACGGCCUGGUUUAUUGCCUAAGGCCCUUCUGUGUUCUAGAAAGAUUUUCCAGAGUUCUGAUGAUAUAAACUGAGUGAUUAUCCAAAAGGGGACGUAUAGAGAUUUUGUACUAUGUUUGAAUGAACCCAUUAACUCUAUCUCUCAGGUAGUUCUUUCUUCCUUUUUUUCCCCAUUGUAUCCCUUUUCCUUCAGACAAAUAUUCUAGCUCAUAAAAUUUAUUAAAGACAUCCUUAAAUACCCCUUUAGCACCUCUUCCCCAAGAAAAGGAAGGAGUUUAACCUCAGCUCAAAUGUUGCAUCAUUUCACAUCCUAAAAAUCUCAGGUAUUUAAAAUACCACCGCAAAACCAUGUGAAUGUCAGUAUGUUGUAGGUUUUGUUUUUAACCCUGUUUUUGGCUUAAGACAAAGUGAGGAAAAUGUCAUGCAAUUCUGUAAUAGACUGAUACUCCAAAUGAACAUUUUUAUUGCAUGUUAUUUUCAUUCUGCAGCUCCCUUGGUAAAGAUUAAACAGAGCUUAACAAAGCUGAAGCAAGAAACGG